rnacentral:rRNA from 1 species
UACGUAGGCAGCAAGCGUUGUUCGGAGUUACUGGGCGUAAAGAGUGCGUAGGCGGUUCUGCAAGUUUGGUGUGAAAUCUCCCGGCUUAACUGGGAGGGUGCGCCGAAAACUGCGGGGCUUGAGUGUGGGAGAGGUAAGCGGAAUUCCUGGUGUAGCGGUGAAAUGCGUAGAUAUUGGGAGGAACACCAGUGGCGAAGGCGGCUCACUGGACCGGUACUGACGCUGAUGCGCGAAAGCGUGGGGAGCAAACGGG